AGAGUGAACGCUGGCGGUAGGCCUAACACAUGCAAGUCGAACGGCAGCACGGUAAGAGCUUGCUCUUAUGGGUGGCGAGUGGCGGACGGGUGAGGAAUACAUCGGAAUCUACCUUUUGGUGGGGGAUAACGUAGGGAAACUUACGCUAAUACCGCAUACGCCCUUCGGGGGAAAGCCGGGGACCAGCAAUGGCCUGGCGCUGAUAGAUGAGCCGAUGUCGGAUUAGCUAGUUGGUGAGGUAAUGGCUCACCAAGGCGACGAUCCGUAGCUGGUCUGAGAGGAUGAUCAGCCACACUGGAACUGGAGACACGGUCCAGACUCCGUAGGGAGCAGCAGGUGGGAAUAGUGGACAAGUGGGCGACAACGCCUGAUCCAGCCAAGUACCCGGCGGUGGGUAGAAGGAACGGUCCGUUGGUUAGUAAACGGUCCCGUUUUAGGUUA
rnacentral:rRNA from 1 species